GCGAGUGUAGUUCAGUGGCAGAACACCAGCUUCCCAAGCUGGAAAUGCGGGUCCGAUUCCCGUCACUCGCU
rnacentral:tRNA from 1 species